ACCUCUCGCUCCCUCCGUCCCAUCCCCUGCUCGGCUCCCUCACCUCCCUCCACGCCGCCGUCGCCUCAAUGCCUCCACCCUCCCCAAUAUCUACAGCCAUGUCUCCGCCUCGCCUCCACCUAAGGGCUGAGCUGGACAUCGACGGGCACCGCCGGUGCAACGGAUCUGGGGUCACCUCUCGAUGGCGCGGCUUGAGUCGACUCCGACAUGAGCGGUGCCAUCCUACUUCUUGAUGGCCCCCUCCCCGUCUGGUGGCAGCGCGAGGAACCCCCCAAGUCGGUGGUGGGGUGGAGGCCCCCCUUCCCUGGCUGCAGCGCGUGGGGCAUCCAGCGGCGGCGGCGAGCUCUGGGCCCCAGCUCGUGCAUCCAGCGGCGGCGGCAGCCUCCCUUAACGGGAUGGCACGCUGCCUGGCAUCUGACAGCCAUGUGGCACCUUGUAAGUACUAGCCGUCGUGAUCAAGGGAGUCAGCUUCUGCUGCAAAUCGUAAGAUCAUUCAUCCUCUCCAGUUACAUCUGGCCCUGCGGGGCACAGCUGCGUGGCUUGUGCAGGUCAGUUGCGGCAGCCGACGUGCCAGGCGGAUGAGGAGCUGGUCGUGCUGGCUUCUGCUCGCAGUCGUGUACCACUCCUCCCAAGGCGAGCAGAUGUGACCGAUGCAGAGAAAUCCGGUGGUGGCCCUUACAGUUUUACUCCAUCAACUGGUGCUCCAGUGCUUCCCCUCAGUUUGGUGUUGCCUCGCUUCGUCCCCCAUCUCCAAAGUCUGAACCAUUUCAAGGAACAUUCAUAUCGCACAGACUUGGAGUUUGCCAUGGUCGACACAAGGAAAAUUAAUGUAGUGCAUGCUUGCUGUAGCCUACAUAAGAUAGAUUUAGUACUGUUGAUCACCCAACACUAGUUAUGAACUAUUUUCGAUUUGGAGAAUGAAUUUGGUACUUUUACUUGAUGAUUAUCAGGAUGGCUUCGUUUUAUAUUCAUGAUGAUACAAUUCAUAUUUUGGUGAAAUCAUUUGUUGCACAAAUGAUUCAAUAUCCAAA